UGAAAGCAGUUAAGAGAUAAAGAUGACAAUAUUUAAAUAUUUAUACAGUCAUCUAAAUUUAGUGGAAAUUAAAACGAAAUAAGACUUGAGUACAAGUUCCCCAAAGUUCAACAAAAUACAUAAUAAACUAAAGAUCGAAGGAUGCCUAGAGAGUGUUUUCAAAAAUUAACAAGCUAUUGAAAUAAGAACUAAUAAACGUCCUAAGUACUAGGGGCUGGAUCUUCCUCAGUCUCUCACGCUUGCUCCAAGGGUACAUCAUCACCUACUGCUCACAUCCAAAGGAUUGGAUGAUCAUCGCAAGGGGGAAAGCAAACACAUACAAACAUACAAGUGCAAGGGUGAGCUAGGUCUCAAACAAUCAUACAAUUCAUUGCAAGAACAUUCAUACACACUUAAACAUGUAAGUCAUCAUAAACAUAAACAUUCAUUUCACAAAACUCACUAAAGCAAACAUCAUGUCAUGUUAAGACUCUUAGACAUGUCCGGACAUAGAAUGUAUAUAGAGUUGGGGCGGGUUGUGCACUUGUGGUGGCCUCUACUGCUUUGCAAAGCCAUUGCCGAGGGGUUUCACCCGACCACACACAAGGCAGGUCCAUUACCGCGGAAUAAACCUCCAGUGAUAGNGCCUACCCUAGGACCUCCCACUACUCUCACCACACGCGUCAAUCCUCUCUAUGUGAGAAUGAAAGACCGUUAGAGUGUUAGGGAUAACCCCCCAUAGUGGAAGCCUCUUACAUACAUUCAAUACACUAACUGAUCUCACCGAGAGAUCUUAAUUUCAUAUUCAAUCCGACCACUUCAAAUCACCUGAUAUUCCUCUUGAAUCAAUAAUGUACCUCAUAAACCACUUUGCUUCAUCAAACAUAAAAUUUCAUAGUCAUUCAAGUACAUUCUUACUAUAUUGGCUCAUACCAAACCCAUACACCAUCACACAACAUCGACCAUGUCAUAAAACAACUCAUACAUUACAUACUUUGACAAAACCAUCACUUAUUACCACAAAUUUCUUUAUGAUAUUUAAUUAUCAAUACUUAAGUAAUUCAAACAGCCUUGGGACCCUCACCAAUGGUUCCGGAAGGGUCAAAAACCCCCAGAACAACCUAAAGAACGUCCAAAACGGACAUCCGGAACUCCCGAAACGUCAAAAACAAAAACGACAACAGAAACAGUGUGCUGAAUGGCGCCCAGCGCCAGGAAACAAAACCAAAUGGCGCCCAGCGGCACUUAGGUUGCGCCCAGCGUGGAUUCUGCAGAUUUUAUGCAGAUUUUGCAUAACUCACUCACUCUCAUUUCGUUUUAGGCCUUUUGGUGGGUUUCUAGCACUCCUAACUUGAUCUAUAUGAUGAAUCAAACUUGCCUAAUCAACUUUAACACUUCCUAAACCAAUUCUCUAGUGAUUUCACAUCAAUCUACAUUCAAAUUACUUAAUUUCAUCAACACAUGUGCCUAAUUCUAAUUCUACCAGUUAAGCAAUGUUUUUACCACUUUUGAAACUUCUACCAAGUCAUAAAUGACUAAAUCAAAUUGUCCCCACUGUCCACUUACACCCUAGACCUCAAUUACUCAAAAACACCCUCUCACUUCCUUCAAACUCACUCAAAACACUAGUUUUCCUCAAUCUAAGGACUCAACUCCACUUCUACCAUUUAGAACCUCAUUUUAACCAAUUUUAUAGUUCUAACAAGUUAUAAUUAACUUGCCUAAGCUACCUCAAUAGUUCAAAAGAGUCCUAGACCUCAACCUCUCAAAUUCACUACUUCCCUUCUCUUCAAAUAACUCCAAUUUCACCAACAUAGAGACCAAAAACUCAAUCUUAUCUCUUUGCACCUAUUUCUACCAAUUUAGUGACUAAAACAAGUCAUAAUACAAUGGAUAAAACUAUCACAAUAGUCCAAAUAUGUUGCAGCCUUCAAUUGCUCAAAAUCACUACCUUACUUCCUCUAAAUGACCUAAAAUUGACCCUAAGACACUUGAUUUUUCUUCCUAACAAUACCACAACAGAUUUUUCACACCAAAUUAGUUCCAACAUAAAUAAUUCAUCAUUCAAAAUCAUUCCAAACAGUUCAUAGCCAUCAAUCACCAAAUUCACANAACACACCCACUUCCAUACAUGCAUUUCAAGUCAANAGAACCAAUUUCAUGCCUUUAACAACAUACCACUUCAAAAUUUGUCAUUCAUUCACAUUACACAAUAAAAAUAAGAAAUAGAACUAGCUCCCCUUACCUCUAGUGCGUCCAGCCAACUCAAGGAAGAAUCUUAUACCACGUACUUUGAACCCAAAGUGUGAGAAUCACCUAAAAUCAUCAAUUGAUGAUGGAGAACGAAUUUUAGCACUAAGUUGAAGUUAGAUUGUGGAAGGAACGAAAUGGGUUGCAUGAAAUAAGAAAUCCCAUGCUUUAAACCCUAGGGCAAGGGAGGAAAGAGGGCUUUCUUACCGGUUGGAUGGAACGGGAAAAUCGAUUGGUAGAAACGUAGCUCUUGGAGUACUGAAUGCUUAGGUAGCUUCAAUUUGAGAAACCAACGGUUAAAAUCUGAGUUAUGGUAGAUGGAAGGUGGAGGAAUGAAGAAAAAGAAGAAGAGGAGUUGUGUUUUGGUGAUGGAGUGUCGUGGUAGAGAAAAA
rnacentral:lncRNA from 1 species